rnacentral:rRNA from 1 species
GACGAACCGUGCGAACGUUGUUCGGAUUCACUGGGCUUAAAGGGCGCGUAGGCGGGUGACCAAGUCCGGGGUGAAAUCUUUCGGCUCAACCGGAAAAGUGCCUUGGAUACUGGUCAUCUCGAGGGAGGUAGGGGCAUGCGGAACUUCCGGUGGAGCGGUGAAAUGCGUAGAUAUCGGAAGGAACACCGGUGGCGAAAGCGAGCCUCUGGACAGUUACUGACGCUGAUGCACGAAGGCCAGGGGAGCAAACGGG